GACCGCGCAGCUCAGUUGGAAGAGCAUUGGGCUAGUAUUCCAAAGGUCGUAGGUUCGAAUCCCGCCGUGGCCA